CUCCCGGCCUGCUUCGCGCCGAAGGGGGCGGGGCCUCAGCGCUGCCCUAUAAAUAGGCCCCGGCGGGCGACCAAGGCCUCUCUCGGCCGCUGCUGCCGCCAUCUUGCGGGGCCGACGCCGCCAUCCGCCGCCAUCCACCACCCCCGCCGCCGCCCGCCCGCCGGGAGUGAGCGCGGCGCCUCCGCACCGCCAUGAGGGCCAAGUGGCGCAAGAAGCGAAUGCGCAGGCUGAAGCGCAAGAGGAGGAAGAUGAGGCAGAGGUCCAAGUAGACCCCGCCGCGGAGCCCAGCGGGGCCGGGGCUCAGAGCCGCCGCCGGGGAGACGCCCCGGUGUCCCGGGAGGGGCUCGGUGCCGCGGGGGAGGCCCGCUGCGCCGGGCCGGUUCAGUGCUCCGUGCCGCGAAUAAAGCUGGUGUUGUUGGGACACGGUGUUGGUUCCUCCAUAGGCGGUGGGAUAAUGGGGGGACUUCCUCCGGUAACGGGGCGCGAACUGGGGUGGGUGUGUGUGUGCUCCUCCGGUAACGGGGUGAGAACUGGGGAGGGGGCUGGGUGGGUGCCUC
rnacentral:lncRNA from 1 species